GCAUUAGUCGAUGCCUAGGUAGCUCAUUGGGAGAGCUCCUGUAUAUGUUUACCGAAAUCACCUAGCAACAAGUAUCAGGUUGUCGCAGGUUCGAAUCCUGCCCGAUGGCUA